GACGAACGCUGGCGGCGUGCCUAACACAUGCAAGUCGAACGGAGAAGUUCAGCAAUGGAUUUCUUAGUGGCGAACGGGUGAGUAACGCGUAGACAACCUGCCUCUAAGCUGGGGACAACAACUCGAAAGGGUUGCUAAUACCGAAUGUGAACAGUGCCUCGCAUGAGAUGCUGUUUGAAGGUGGCCUCUGAAUAUGCUACCGCUUAGAGAUGGGUAUGCGUAUGAUUAGCUAGUUGGAGGGGUAAUGGCCCACCAAGGCGACGAUCAGUAGCCGGUCUGAGAGGAUGAACGGCCACACUGGGACUGAGACACGGCCCAGACUCCUACGGGAGGCAGCAGUGGGGAAUAUUGGACAAUGGGGAGAACCCUGAUCCAGCCAUGCCGCGUGUGUGAAGAAGGCCUUAUGGUUGUAAAGCACUUUAAGCGAGGAGGAGGCUCUUUUGGUUAAUACCCAAGAUGAGUGGACGUUACUCGCAGAAUAAGCACCGGCUAACUCUGUGCCAGCAGCCGCCGUAA
rnacentral:rRNA from 1 species